GCGGGAUGAAUAUAUUACCAUGUAAACACUUUGCCGGGUAACUUGGCCCCCGAGAUAAAAUGUAUUUGCUUUGCAUUUGAAAAAUAAUAGCUCAAAAACUCAUACGAAUCAACAUAAGUUUUCCUGAAUUUUUCGGCACUUAUUCUUGUAUUUUCACGACAUUUUGUAAUAUUUUUUAACGUUUCAAAUGACUUAAAUCCUUUUUGUGUUUUGGCGCAAUUUCGACGUUAUGCAAAUGCCGACUAACUCGAUUCCAUACAAACAGAGCGCUUGUUCGUCCCGCCUGGGCGAGUAUAAAGGCCAUUUUCCAUUGCAGUCGCUUUGCCCGCGCGGGCGGAGCGAACAUUACUCAACAACAUUCUCUGUAGUUGCCUAACCUGUGCAUUUUUUGUCCGCCUGAACGCUCGCGGACACGCCAUGAAAGUAGAACUACAUUCAACUUUCUUGGCGUGCCCGGGCCUGAUUUUUCACGUGAUUAAAAUUGGGCGGAGCGCCCGCGCGGGCAAAGGACUGAUUUUAAAAAUUUGGUUGCGAAAUGUUGUAAAGCUUGGAAAAUAUAGCCUUGCAAAGUUUGCAAAUUUUGUAUAUGUUUGUAUUACGUGCGCAAAUUGUUACCAUUUGCGACUCAAAAAUGGUAACAAUUUCCGCACGUAAUACAAACAUUGAGAAAA